rnacentral:lncRNA from 1 species
CAAGUCAAAACCACCGAAAACCCUAGAUACCGAUAACUCACCAAAAUCACCCAAAACCGACAGAGAUUCUUAGAACGUUGAGGUCACGAAGAUACACCCGGAUAUCAUGGUGUAAAACACUCUGAACCAUGUCCAAUCAAAGUCGGAAGCAUCAUCGACCGGUCGGUCUCAGAUAAAUCCUCAAAAAAAACCGUCAAACAAACGCUCAAAAGAGACACCGAUAUGCAAAUAAACAUGAUCGGAUCGUUGUAAGGCUCUGAUACCAUGUCAAUAUUCAGAUUAACCGAGAAAAUCACAGAGAAUCUAGAGAG